UACGGGGGGGGGUAAGCGUUGUUCGGAAUUACUGGGCGUAAAGGGCUCGUAGGCGGCCAACUAAGUCAGACGUGAAAUCCCCUCAGCUUAACUGGGGAACUGCGUCUGAUACUGGAUGGCUUGGAUUUGGGAGAGGGAUGCGGAAUUCCAGGUGUAGCGGUGAAAAUGCGUAGAUAUCUGGAGGAACACCGGUGGCGAAGGCG
rnacentral:rRNA from 1 species